CCCCUGCCCACGCCCCGCCCCCCUCGUCGGCCACCCCGCCGCCGGGCUCCACCCCGCCGCCGGGCACCGCCCCUCCUCCACGAGCUUCUCGCCGCUGGGUGCCGCCCCCUUCUCGCCGCCGGGCGCCGCGCCCUCCUUGCGCUCCUUUUCUCCGCCGAACGCCGACCCCUCCCUGCCACCGGGCGUCCGCCGUCCGGAUCCAGCGCCCAGCACCACCGUCUUCACGUGCCAUCCUGCUGGUUCGUACGGGAGGUGUUCGCCUCCUGCACCCGCCGGAUCUGGCCAUCCCCUUCCGUUCACCUCCGCCACCUGAGGCCGUUCACCACCGCCACCAGUCCCCGUUCAACACUGCCCCCACAAUCCCGCGCGUCAAACGACACACCUGUCAACCCACGCGAAGCUUCAAAAGAGGUCCAGUUCUGAACAUCAAAUACCCAGAGGUUCAGUUCUAAACUUGCAAUGUCUCCAGGAAUGUUACAACUGAAUUGCUUCAGUUUGAGUUAAUUUUGAAUCACAUGUGCCAUCUUGCGAUCGUUUGAAAUCAAUACAUUGCAUGGACAUAUCACAGAACGAAUGUUAAACAGGAUGGCAUGUAUGUCUCUACUCCUAUAAAAAACCGAGUUGGUGGUGAUGGUGUGCCUGCCUCCAUCAAUCUCAACCAUUAGAUCUGGAUCUGGAGAGGCAACCUACUUUAUAACCACCUUAUCCAACCAGGCAACCAGAAUCACUCGAUCCUUCUUGAAAAGGGGAGAACGAUGGAAACAAGCCUUGAUUUCUUGAUGGAACCAGUGGCCGCUGCCGCUGCCGCUGCAUGCGCCGCCGGCGCUGGUUGUUCCAGACCCCUCUCUUGACUCCUCUCUGCUGCCACCGCUCACUAGAACCUCCACCGCCACCUCCCCGUUGUCUCAUCUCCCCCUACCCCAUCUCCUCCUAUGCCGACCAGCAAGUACGCCGCCGGCGUGGCCCGUCCCUCAAGUCCACGACGCUUCUUCUCUGAUAACUCUCUUGCCUUCUUUUCUGAUGCAGCAGCCCCACCGCCCACCACCUGCUCCUCCUCCCCGGCAUUUCCUCGCCGCCGGAGCCGCCCUUCCCCCAAGUCUGCGACGCCUCUCCUGCAUCCUCCUCUGAUGCAGAAGCCCCAGCACCUUCGCCUCUCUCCGCUGUCUCCACCGACGCCGACCUUCGCGUAUGCCGGCUAUGCGCUACACAUCAUCGGCGGCGGCGGCUCCUUCCACGCCUACGUGCUCCAGGUUCUUCCAAUUAGAGUACGAGCUACUCCCCGAGGACUGCUUUGUUGUGUGCAAUUGGAGCGCCACCCACGAGCUCCACACUCGCGUUCUCCUCCAAUUGACUCCAUCUGGAAGAUGGCUGGUCUGGUGUGAUGUUGGCGUGGAGGAACUAUGCUCUGCUAUUGCCAUCUAAUAUGUUUCGUCAAGAACCAAGCAGGUCUCUAUGUCAUUGAUGCCCCUCCUUUUCUUGGUAGCUCCACAUCCAAUUUUUCAGGUUAGACACCAAUUUUUUUCCUUGAUGUCAGUUACUGGCAUCUUUUCUUUUGCAGAAAGUUACAAUUUUUGUGUGUGUAUGCACAAGUACACUCGCCCCUUCUUCUAUAUACACAUGAUUUCAAAGCAUGUCUUACUAUACAUUUUUUUCUUUGCUUGGUACAAAAUGUAUUGCAAGCGAUGUUCAUUGUUUUUUGCUUUGUUUAAAUAUACUUUAAGCUCAGUUUUUUUUCUUUGUCUGAAUGUAACAUAGGCAAUUAUGUAGGUGGGCAGAUGGAGAUAUACUGUGCUUUAAAAAUUAUUCCAUGGCGUGAUCUAAGGUAUGUAACUAAUUAAGUGGAACUAGAUGUGUGAGUUAUGUCUGAAAUGUUCUUCUCUUCUUGGUGGUGUUGUAUACAAAUUCAUUUUUCUUGCGUAUAUUUACGAAAUCAUUCGGUUAAACACUUCUACUUCAUUCAUGUUUGUCUUGGAACUAUUAAUAUAAGUGUGUACUAUUUGGAUAUAUUAAUUGCUGCAUUUAUCUUCACAUUUAAGUCCGGUGUGCCUAAUAUACUGGCAUGAAAUGGGCAAUGUUGACUUCCUGGAUGAACGGUAACUGAAUAGCUUGUUUGCUUUGUACAACCUUUCCAAGGAAAGAAGCAAUUCUCUGUUGCAGUAGUUUGUUGCAGUGGUUCUAAGGCUGGACAUGAUAAUAUGUAUUUUAGAUCACAGGCUGUGCUGGAAAUUUUGGAGGUCUGGUGUGGGGGCAGUUGUCGCAUCUUUUACAAUUUCACAAUUCGGAGUUAUCAGUUGUGACGCUCGCACGGCUUGCAAUUGACGAAGCCAAUGUUGGAAGGAUGUUGACGCAUGGAACAUCAUUUGACAUAGUAGUCUAGCUUAGUGAGCCCCGGUCAUUUUUUUGUACUUGUAUAUAAUCUCUUUUGCAUGCAAGUUAAGUGUUUUAUUUUUUUGUUUUCCUUUUUCAUGUGACUUCUCCUAGCCAAUUAAUGAUUGUGGUAUGUUUGUGAGACUAUAAUACACUUUUAGCAAACUACUUUUGCAAUAUUCAA